GAUGAACGCUGGCGGCGUGCCUAAUACAUGCAAGUCGAGCGAACAGACGAGGAGCUUGCUCCUCUGACGUUAGCGGCGGACGGGUGAGUAACACGUGGAUAACCUACCUAUAAGACUGGGAUAACUUCGGGAAACCAGAGCUAAUACCGGAUAAUAUAUUGAACCGCAUGGUUCAAUAGUGAAAGACGGUUUUGCUGUCACUUAUAGAUGGAUCCGCGCCGCAUUAGCUAGUUGGUAAGGUAACGGCUUACCAAGGCGACGAUGCGUAGCCGACCUGAGAGGGUGAUCGGCCACACUGGAACUGAGACACGGUCCAGACUCCUACGGGAGGCAGCAGUAGGGAAUCUUCCGCAAAGGGCGAAAGCCUGACGGAGCAACGCCGCGUGAGUGAUGAAGGUCUUCGGAUCGUAAAACUCUGUUAUUAGGGAAGAACAAAUGUGUAAGUAACUAUGCACGUCUUGACGGUACCUAAUCAGAAAGCCACGGCUAACUACGUG
rnacentral:rRNA from 1 species